CAUCCCUCCUUUCCUGUUUGCACUUAUCGCUUGCCAACUCUUGCUAACCACCCAUUCCCGUCAUCUCUUCAGACUGGCAAUCUCCUCCUUUGUUUUUCAUUUGUGGGGACAGUUCAGUGAUGGGACUCUGGAUGGCUGUGGACCAGGUUGUCAAGGGUGCCACUGAACCAGUAAACAGUGGAGGUGUGCUGCAGUAAAGAGGGCCCAGGUGCACAACUUAGCAAAUAAGAGACAGUGGUUCAGCCUCGUCAAGUGGAUAGUGCUUCAAAUGUGAAUGAUGUGUAUGUCUUCACUCCUGUAUCCUAAAGGAUUAACUGAGAAUCUGUUACCAAAUGAGCCAUAUUUGGGACACGAGAGACCACAGAUGCUGGAGCCUGGAAGAAAAAUCAAGCUGCAGAAAGAGCUUAACAAGUUAGGCAGCAACUGUGGAGGGAAAUGGACAGUUGCCCUCAACAGAUGCUGACUGAUCUACUGAAUUCCUCCAGUAGCAUUUUAUGAGCCACAUCUGAGGUUAGAGGAGAAAUGUUGAUCAGGAAUUCUUUUGGACUAAUCAAACGUAGAAAUGCUGAUGUACUGCAGUGGAAGUAAUACUGUGAAUGUCUGGUUAGAAAAGGUGGGGUGGUGUGGUGUUAAGAAUGGGAAUGUUAUGGUGCAGCUACGUAUUUCAUACAGAACCAAAAUACUGUGGAUGCUGGCAACUGUGCAUGCUGAAAACUCAGCUGGUGAAAUUUCCAGCUUUGGAAUAGAAGAGACAGACAUAAGAGUUCACUCAGCUUUCAUCAGAACCUAUAAAAUGUACAGAUACACAAUGUUGUGUACGUAAUAUUCCGUAAUGUUAUAAAUUUAUUUUUGUUUAAGCAUUCUUUGUUUACACAAUUCAUAAAGGGUUAUAAAUAUGAAGUACAUGAAUGGCAUGCAUCAUUAUUGCACCACAUUCUACGUAUGUUUCUUGUUAAAGUAAA